rnacentral:tRNA from 1 species
CGGGCCCUGCCCGGCCGGUUGCGGUCCGGCCGGUUGCGGUCCGGCCGGUUCGGUCCGGCCGGUUUCGGUCCGGCCGGUCCGGCC